UGCGGUUAUACAAAAAUUAAAUUAAUUUCUUUUAGGAUUUAAUAAAUAAAAAUUUAUUUAAUAAUUUAAAUUUUAAAUUAUAAAGUGAAAUUUUAAUUUAAUUAAAAUUUAUUUAUUUUUAUAACAUUAAUAAAUUUUAUAAAAAACUAGGAUUAGAUACCCUAUUAUAAAAAUUUAAAAUUAAUAAUCUUAAAAUAGUAUAUAAUUUUUUAUAGAAACUUAAAUAAUUUGGCGGUAUUUUAGUUCAUUUAGAGGAAUCUGUCUAAUAAUUGAUAAUCCACGAUUAAAUUUACUUAAUUUUUAAUUUUGUAUAUCGUUGUUAAAAAAAUAUUUUUUGAUAAAAAUAAUAUUUUAAAAUUUAAAUAAAAAAUUAAAUCAGAUCAAGAUGCAGAUUAUAAUUAAGAAUAUGAUGGAUUACAAUAAAUUUUAUUUUAUUUGGAUAUUAAUUUGAAAUAAAUUAAUUGAAAUUGGAUUUAAAUGUAAUUUUAUUAAUUUUGUUAAAAUGAUUUUAAAUUAAAAUAUGUACAUAUUGCCCGUCGCUUUCAUUUAUAAAUUGAAAUAAGUCGUAACAAAGUAGAGGUACUGGAAAGUGUUUCUAGAAAGAU
rnacentral:rRNA from 1 species